rnacentral:sRNA from 1 species
GUGGCCGCUACCCCGACCACUCGGUGGACAGGAGAGAAGGUUCAAGGUCAAUGAUGGGAGAACGAGAAGGACAGGUAAGUCUGAAGCUACAGUGGUAGGCACAGAAUUUCCCGUAGAAUGGGUUCUUUUCCCUUCAGCGUGCCUUCUUCCUGCCCUUUCCUUGAGCAAGAGGCAAAAUGAGGAAAGAGAAAAGUAUAGCACUAGAAAAGUCUAGGUUUGUGGGAUGGAAAUUUGGGAUUAUUUGGGGUUAGUCUUGGCUGUCAGUCCGAACAGUUACUCUGAAGCUGUUUUUAGCCUUGACCCCGGGGUUGUGUGUGCCACACUCACCACACACGUGCAACAGUGCCAGGGAACCUUAAGGUGUGACCUGGCUCUGCUGGGAAGUGUCUAGUGAGCC